rnacentral:rRNA from 1 species
AUUGAACGCUAGCGGCAGGCCUAACACAUGCAAGUCGAGCGGAUGAAGGGAGCUUGCUCCUGGAUUCAGCGGCGGACGGGUGAGUAAUGCCUAGGAAUCUGCCUGGUAGUGGGGGGUAACGUCCGGAAACGGGCGCUAAUACCGCAUACGUCCUGAGGGAGAAAGUGGGGGAUCUUCGGACCUCACGCUAUCAGAUGAGCCUAGGUCGGAUUAGCUAGUUGGUGGGGUAAAGGCCUACCAAGGCGACGAUCCGUAACUGGUCUGAGAGGAUGAUCAGUCACACUGGAACUGAGACACGGUCCAGACUCCUACGGGAGGCAGCAGUGGGGAAUAUUGGACAAUGGGCGAAAGCCUGAUCCAGCCAUGCCGCGUGUGUGAAGAAGGUCUUCGGAUUGUAAAGCACUUUAAGUUGGGAGGAAGGGCAGUAAGUUAAUACCUUGCUGUUUUGACGUUACCAACAGAAUAAGCACCGGCUAACUUCGUG